GUCGCUAGCCUCUUUACCUGCCUACACACCUUUCUGCCUACGUGGCACAUUGGUAGGCAAGAGGGCAUGAUGUAGCAGUGGAGAUGGACUGCCAC
ensembl:miRNA mir-270 ncRNA